UGUCGCUGCCCUCCUUGGGCGUUUCCUCCCUAGACUUGGGGCCGUUCAAUCUUUUGGAUGGCCUCUUUUUUUGCCCUC
rnacentral:sRNA from 1 species